CCUACGGGAGGCAGCAGUGAGGAAUAUUGGUCAAUGGGCGCAACCCUGAACCAGCCAUGCCGCGUGCAGGAGGACGGCCCUAGGAGUUGUAAACUGCGUUUAUGCGGGGGUAAACUGAGUUACGUGUAGGGUUUUGCAAGUACGGUACGAAUAAGGACAGGCUAGCUCCGUGCCAGCCGCCGCGGUAAUACGGAAGGUAGGAGCGUUAUCCGGAGUUAUGUGGUUUAAAGGGUGCGCAGGCUGGUCUGUAAGCUAGUGGUGAAAUGACGAGGCCCAACCUCGGCACUGCAGCGGAGACUGGGGGACUAGAGUGCGGAGGAGGUAGGCGGAAUUCGUGGUGUAGCGGUGAAAUGCUUAGAUAUCACGAAGAACUCCGAUUGCGAAGGCAGCCUACCGUGGCGUUACUGACGCUGAUGCACGAAAGCGUGGGUAUCGAACAGGAUUAGAUACCCGUGUAGUC
rnacentral:rRNA from 1 species